UUUUUUUUUUUUUUUGGAGGUUGAGUUAAUCAUUAUCCUGUUUAUAACACGUUACUUUCAUUGUUCUUGCAAAGUGCUUUUUUACUUUAUUUCCUUUUUCUCUCCCUACUCCUCCUCGCCCCUCAUACAACCAUUCUGAUGGGUUUAACUGGUACCUCUUUUUAUAUGCACUUACAGCAACAUGAGUAUAAUUUCAUGGGCAUGUAUUUUAAUUUGGGAAAAUGGUUUUAUACUGCAUCUCAUUUUUCUUACUUUUUUUUACUUGACACUAUGCCCUUAAGACGUAGUCAUGCUGAGAAACAUUCAUUUAAUCAAUUGCUUCUAAUGAAUGAACAAUACUCCUCUAUGUUCAUUCAACUAAAUUUGAACUAACUACUUUCCUAGUGAGGGACACUCAAAUUACCCCCAACUCCCUCUUACCAUCAAAAUAACCUUGUGUGAAUACCUUCUUAUGUCCUAUCAUGAUGUUUUACAUGUACAUACAUACACAUAUAUAUAUAUAUAUGUAUUUAUAUUGUGUGUGUGUGUGUGUGUGUGUGUGUGUGUAUACACACACAUAUAAAACAAAGACAUUUUCAUAUAUCUCCAAGAGUGUAGUUUUGCUGGGUCAUGGGGUAUAAGUGGCCCUAAUUUGAACAAGUGGUGUCAUAGGCUCUCCAAAAUGGCAGUAUCGGUCUUAUCUUCUAUUAGUAAUGCAUGAAGGUCCCCAAAGCCCAAGAAAUGCUGAGCAUAACUGAGCUCUUUAAAAUGCUACAGAUAUCAUUAUUUAAUUUGCAUCUCUCAACACUGGUGACUUAGAGUAUCUUUUCCAAUGUUUGAUGGCCUUUUGAGUUUCCUCCUCUUAAAUGCCUUUUCAAACCUCUGCCCAAAUUUUCUACAAAUAACUGCAUCACUUUAAAAAUAAUCUCCCGCCCCCAGUGAAAUCAGUUGAACAAGACAGGCAAGAGAGGCAACAAGAAAACCCACACAUGGGAACAGAUGGCAGCUAAUCCAUCUUCUGAAAAUGGCAGUGCCUCUGCAGUCCCCAGAGAAAUAAAGACCUUCACAACAGCAGUAGAAGGGACAGCAGCAAGGAAUUAGGCUAUGUGAAACAUACUCAUCCCCUGGGGUCCCUGCUCAGAGUAGAUGCUCAUUAAACACCAAUUCCCUUCCUUAUUUUAGAUUAUCACAACAAAUCUGUAAGAAGGAAAUCUAUGUAUUAUUCUUAUUCCCCUUUAAUGGAGAAAAAACUGCUUGGAUGAAGGCAUGAUGAGUUGCCUAAUGAGUGAGGGAGCUGAGGUGCUCUUAGCUUCUCCCUUCAUUUCUACCAGGAGUGUAAGCCUGAAAGCAGACAGCCUUGAUUUUCACCCCAGCUCCUCAACUUAUUAGCAUGUGGCAUUAGGCAAGUCAAGCCACUUCUCUGAACCUCAGUUUCACUCCAUCAAAUGGAGUAAUAAUGAUAACAUUUUUCUCAUGGCAUUGUACUGAGGAUUAAAUAAAUGAUUCUCUGUAAGCCAUGCAGAAUAGUGCCUGGCACCCAGUAAGUGCUUAGUGAGUGUUAGCUGCUGCUGCUGCUGCUAUUAUUAGUAUGAUUAAGCUUGUCCUUGGGGUAUGGACAUUGUACUAAAUUGACAUUAAAAACAGUCUUUUAUAUAUGCCCUCCAAUUACAAGGUUUUAAUAAUUCAUUUGGAAGGGCUAAAGGCCACAUAGCAUCUGAACAUUUUAAUCUGAACUAUUUUAUUUCAUUCUAAACAUUUCUCAUAAUAUACCUUUUUCCAACUCGGUUUUCAAAAAUAUCUUGAGGAGGCAAACAUUUUCCUUGAAAUUUUCUGGGGUGUUUUCCCCCAGAUCCUUACAUUUCCAGCAGCACAUUUGCAGGCUUCACUGACUAGUUAAAACAGAAUUGUUGAAAACAGGCUUCUAUACUAAGUAGGCUAGCACUUUUGUUCUCCUUUUACAAGAAUUAUCUUAUUCAUAUUUCUAUUCAUUGAAGUAACAAAGGAUGUCACCUAAAGAAGUAAAGCAGCUAGUGGUAGCUAUGUCCUGAAUAUAAGCAACCCUCACUUUUCUCAGCCUUAAAAUAUAAAAUGGAAGUGGGCAGCCAGGGAAUCAAAAUCAAGCAGGUGUGACAAAUACUAGGGUUAAGGAGCAACAGAAUGAGGGCUUCCUGGAAUCUAAAGUGGUCAGAAUUUAAUGAAUUACAAAAAUCCACACCACAAUGCAAAGAGAAGAACUAGGAACCCUAGUGUUUACCUCCUGGUUCGUUUACGUUAUAAUGAGCCAGGAUCUCCUGGCUAGUUGUGCUGCUUUUGUGGGACUCACAUUCCUUAUUGAAAGAUGAACAUGGGACAAAAUACCCUCUCUCUCCACAUUUCCUUCCAGUCCUAAAUUCUAGAACCUUAUAGUUUAUUCCUAGGUCUAGAUUUUUAAACAUUUCCUACAUGUUUAUAUGCAUACUACCUUUCCCAGAAAUUAUGUUAGUGGUACAACAUUUAUCUCUUUGUAAUUUGAAUGCACACAUGAGAAUCCAGCUGCCACAUGUGAUUGCGAGAGAGAAACAGAACCUGUUGAAAAUGACCAGAUGCUCCUUCCAAAAACAUCAUUUUGACUAUGUUUUUCCCAGUCAUGCCUUCCUUGCAAAUGUAGGCUCUAAGAUGAGAAGCUACUUCUUUCUCCAUGUGGAUUUUCUCUUCUUCCCAAGUUGAACUGAAAAGGAUAAAACUCCCUGAGUCCCCCAGAAUUAACCAUCGCAAAUAUUCUGCAUGUAGGAUUUGCUGAGAAGUAUCUAAUAUGCAUGUCCAUAUCCUGAAAUCAAUAAAUGAGACCCUGGGAAAUGCCCUGAGAUCCAAAACUAAUGAGUAUAUGCAGUUCACCAAACAAUACAGAGCUACAUCAAUAGGCUCCUCUCUGGACCAUCAGAAAAAGAAAAUCACCAAGGAGAAAAUGAACAGCAUCCAGUCAUCAGUGACUCAGCCCCACUCAGCUUGGCUCAAAGGUAGUGGUGGGAUGGGGAUGGGGCAAGAACAUGUCAUCUUAACAAGGCCAUUUGUGAUAUGGAAAUUUUUAUGUGGCCUAAAAAAGUUAACAUCUGUUUCAUGACACUGGAGGGGGACUUUACUCAUUACUUUAUGUUUUUUAAUAUUAUCUAAAAUUUUAUAAGAGAUAGGAAAGUAAGUAUGCAUAAAAGAGCCAUCUUCACACUCCCCUAAGCAAGUACUCCAUAACAAGGGAAACAGGGAAUCCUCUAAGAAUUGACUUGUAAAGUCAGUUGUGCUAUAAUGCCUGUUUGAAAACACAAAUUUGUUUCAGUGUAAUUGACAUACCAGGGAAAAAUUUGAGCAUAACGCAAAUUUUGUGUUUGCAUGUGAACAAUUUCAACCAUGAGAAAUUUGGCCACUAGGUGACUGCAGAAAACCACACAUAGCUGAACCAAAGGCUAUCCACAAAUGUGCGCAUACCCCUAACACCCACCAGCUACCUAGCUCACCCAUCCACAUUUGCUCUUACAAUUUCCCUUCAGAUUUCAAACAACUCUCCUUCCACCACUUACAAUAACUCAUAAGCUACAACCUUUCCAAUGCCCACUUUCACAAGAAAUUUCAAAAUAAAAACAAGUGAUUUUGUGUUUUCCCAGUCAUUUCAUUCCUGCGGGUACCUACAACCAAUUUUCCCUUCACCAUUCCUCCUGAAAUCCAGCUCCUUGUUCACUACAGCCUUCAAAGGUAGAUGCCAGAAUUUUUUUUCUUGGUUUGUUUUUCCUCCAUUGGAAAAGAGCUAUUUUUUUUUAGGAAAGGGAGAAAAAAGCAAACAAACAAAAAAAAAAUAAACCUGCACUGCUAUUAAUAUGGACAAAGUACAUGAGCUCUCACCACAGACACACUCUCAAAGCCCUCAGGAUUUGUUUUUAUUUUUCAACAGACUGGAUUUGUCAGUACAGACCUGCCAAUUGUCUCCCACCAGAACUAAACAAUACCUUAAAUCUUCUCCUUUAAUGGAGUAGUACUGGGGAGAAUGGGGGAGGGCAGAACAGCAAAGGCAGUUCAAACUCCAUCUAUGGAUGGCAGUCAAGGGCACAGAUAGAACUUAGUAUAAGUCUAUGACAACCAAAGAGACAUAUUUUCUUAGACUUAAUGUGAGGUAUGGAAGAAAAUGGAGUAAAAUGUAUUUCUUGCCCUGACCCUAAACUGCUCUAGGGUAACUUCAAAGAUGCAUAUGAGAAACUAUGAUAAAAAUAUACACAAAAUAAUAAAAAAUGAAGCAAAGGAGCAUGUGUGUAUGUAUAUACAAUCACAUAUAUAUGAAUGUAUACACAUAUAUAGGUAAGUCAUAAUUCAAACCCUAAUUAGAGUCUUGAUAAUCUUGGCUACAUAAAAAUGAGGAAAGAGCUCAAAAUGGAACCCAGGAGAAAGAGAGAUGUAGGUGAAGGAAAAUCAGGCACUGAAGCCAUAAUCCUGGGUUCAAAUACCAGUUUAGCCAUUUAUUUCCUGGGCAGGUAAUUCCACCUAGAGUUAUUUUCAAGAUUAAACAACAAUGUUCCUAAGGUCUCAGGGGGUCACAAGUUUUGUGGUAAAUCUGGUUUUAUAGUAUGUUCAGAAAUUCAGAUAGUUGGGUGUCCCAGAGUACUCAGUUCUGGGUCUGAAGGACAGGAUAUGAGCACACAUCCAUGACCCCCAGACCCAAGGGACAGUGGUCAGAGCCAAGCUGGCCCCAAAGAAGUUAGAGAAUUGAGAAAUCCACAGGGACAGUAGCCUGAUUUCUAAUCACUCUAGGUUGGGAGAACCUUUAGGACAGCAAUUCCCAAAAUGGCACCAGCAGCAUCUGCAUACCUGGAGACUUAGAAGUGUAAAUUAUUGGACCUUAUUUCAUAGUGACUGAAUAAGAAAAUAUAGGCUUAAGGGUUUGUAACUCAGUUUAAGAACCACACCCUUAGGAGAUAGAGUUUUGCUCCAGUAGGUUGAGGAGUCCGCAUCUGUUUUAAGUUAGAGUUUUGCAAAGGUCUGAUUUAAUAAAAAAAUCCCCCCAUCCCUCUGGCCCUGUUCCACUAUUUAGCAAAGAAUUCACACCACUCUCUGGCUAUUCUGGUCACCCAGCAACACUUGCCACCUCCUCAGGCCAUUAGAAGUAUGGGUCAAGUCUUGAUCCAAUCAAAAAUGUCACAAAUAUGCCAAUCAAAUGGCAUGACGAUUUGUGGACAGAAAGCAAUGAAGGAUGUAAUCCUCUUAGAAUUAAAGGAGUGUAGAAAAAGAAAAAAAAAAAAAAACCAAUUGGAGUGUGUAAAUAGGGCCCACAGUGGAAGGACUGAUGUCAAAAUACUCCCUUUCACAUAGCCAGCACCAACUACUUACUUCUGUUUGUCAUCCUGUCUGCCUGUGUCUGAAAUUAGUGUUGCAUGCUCAAACAAGCAAGCUACUGUAUCUGGUGACCAGCCUCCCUGCUACCUCCCCUCCCCACACUCAAAUCAACUCCAGGAUCAUCAGAGUGUGAGUUUAUGUAGCACUUACAACAUCUAGGCCCCUUGAUUUUCUUCCUUGUCUUUAUCCACUUGCUCAUCUGAUUGUAUUUUCGCUAAUCUUCCAAAAGAUGGAUGAGGGGAAAAAGGCAAAACAAAAAAAGGUGGGCAAAAUAGCUUGGGGAAGAGACUUACAAUUAAAAUGGGAGCUAAAAUACAGGAUUUAUGAUGAAUUAGUGGAUUUCAUUACCCUGUAGAGUUCUGUAAGGGGUGCUAUCUCUACUUACCAACCCUGAAAAGAAAAUCUGUAACAGCUACGAAUCACAAUUCCCAAGCAUCCUACUAUGCACUAAUGCUGCACCAAAACUAAGAUCAGUCUGAAUAGCAGAAAGAGGGCACAUCUUCUACAAGGUGUUAAGAUGAUAGUAAAAAAAUCACAAUUAAAAUUGCAAUUACUAAUUAGAAUAAAAAACACACUGAACAACACCUAUAGCAUGGACUCACUUACUGAUUUAUGUAUUAUUAAUACAUGCAAUGGCAGGUGGCAUUUCUAAUUUUUCCCACCACAACCUUUAUGAGUUUUAGAAAUAAAAUAAUUCAUAUACUUACAAGGGAAUACUCAUGUUAUAUAGUAAAUGAAGCAAAUGGAUAUACACUGUGACUGUUAACUGUGCAAAAGAUUCCAAGGAUAAUUUUUGGUUGUAAUAUUUAUCCUAUUCCCUUUAGAAAUAGUCAGCUUAUCACUCUAAACUCUCCCUAGAGAUACAUGGUACUCAAUUUUGAUGGAGAUAUCUCAUAAAAGGAAUCCUAAGUCACAGAGUACUGUAAUUAGAAUAAACCUUGGGGAUCAUCUAAUUCAACCCUCCCUCAUUUAAUGGGCAAAGAUAUUGAGGCUCUGGGGAUUCGAUAUUUGCCCAUGAUCAUGCAGCUUGUCAGAAGCAUGAUGGGACUAGCCCUUUCCUCUUCAGACUCUCUAAUACACUGUUCUUCCUGCUGUAUUAUUCUGCCUCUGAGCUUCAGGCAGAGCUAACUACCAGAGAUCUGACUCCACCAGAAGGCCGGAGAGUAUAGGCUCCAGAUGGAACUUUUUCUACUGCACAUUUUUCCCUACGCCUGGGUUUAGCUGCAAUCUAAUCAUCACAUGCUU
rnacentral:lncRNA from 1 species